UACGGGAGGCAGCAGGGGGAAUAUUGCACAAUGGGCGCAAGCCUGAUGCAGCCAUGCCGCGUGUAUGAAGAAGGCCUUCGGGUUGUAAAGUACUUUCAGUCGUGAGGAAGGUGUUAAGGUUAAUAACCUUAGCAAUUGACGUUAGCGACAGAAGAAGCACCGGCUAACUCCGUGCCAGCAGCCGCGGUAAUACGGAGGGUGCGAGCGUUAAUCGGAAUUACUGGGCGUAAAGGGCACGCAGGCGGUUAAUUAAGUUGGAUGUGAAAUCCCCGGGCUUAACCUGGGAAUGGCAUUCAAGACUGGUUAGCUAGAGUCUUGUAGAGGGGGUAGAAUUCCGAUGUGUAGCGGUGAAAUGCGUAGAGAUGUGGAGGAAUACCGGUGGCGAAGGCGGCCCCUGGACAAAGACUGACGCUCAUGUGCGAAAGCGUGGGGAGCAAAC
rnacentral:rRNA from 1 species